AAGUUUACUGUUAACCAAGCAGUGGAGCCUGUGGAAAAGGGUAUUACAAAGUUCAAUGAGAAAUUGCAUAAGAUUUCUCAAAAUUUAAAGAGACAUGACCAGGAUAGGAGGAGAACAAAGGAUGACAGUUGCAUAUCUUCGCCCACACGGAAGGUGAUUCGUGGGAUAGAUGAUCCUCUCUUACAUGGCAGUUACAGCGACAGUGGGGUAGCAAGGGGAAAGAAACA
rnacentral:misc_RNA from 1 species